AGAAAUCAUAAAAAUGUUUCAUUAAAUUCAUAAAUAUCCAAAAAAUGUUAAUACAUAAAUUUGGAGUAUCUACUCAACGAAAUAAUAUAUUGUUCCAAUCCAACAAUAGUUGUUUCUCCUUCUACAAGUCUAGUUUCAUACAGUGUCAAUUUUAGCCUCCAAGGCACCAUCAUAUUUAGAUGUGGUAGAACAAAACAUUUAUUCUAUCAAUAGUUAUUUUUUUCCCACGUGAAUCAGAUGAUACCGGUCAUUAUCUAUGGUGUCUUGAAAACGCUAAACAAGCACGUUCAAUUCUUGAUGAUUCCAGCAAGUUGCAUCUAUCUGACAGUGACUUAGUAGCCACAUCAAUUGUGGAUUGUCGCUUCGAAGCAAACUACACAAAAAAAGUUGUUAUAAAACAUGCCACAUCUAGUCAUGAAAUUUUUUUGCAUAUAUGCAGUCGAAGUUAGAUGACGAAGGCAAAGAUAAACCUUGAUUCUCUUCAACUUCGUAUUCUUAGAUCUUUUUUCAUUGAGCAUCACAUGUGACUACUUCCUGGUAACCAACAAAACACACAUUCAGAUACGAAAAAAUUGAAUUCAGUUUUUGAAAAAUAUAUGAUAACAAAUAAUGCACAAAUAAUUAACUUUAAGGAUGUUGCAGCCUACUCAAUCAUGCAAACUCAGUGCAUGUACAAAUGACCAAAAUGAAUGUCUGAACUAUGAAUACAAUCGUCUUUACAUCAGUUUUCAAUUGUGGAAAAAAUAUGUAGCUACUAAUGAAUUAUACAAACUAUAAAAAUUCAGUUACGCUUGCCAUAUAUAUUAGAUGCAAUUCCAAAUUUAUUUAUUUUCCACGCACAAAAAUCACACUAUUACAUCACCUACCCAACCUUCUAAUUUCAAGAACCAUCAAUACUCCAUCAUUUCUUAAUAUCUAAUAAAUUUGAAGAGAUAUUCCAAAGCAAAAAAUGUUAGAUCUCGAAAUUUAUGCACUUCAAGUGGAAUAUAAAUGAUACACUGACCAAUAGAAGGCUUUAAAAAAUAUUCGCAGUAGAUAUUACUUCACCGUUUAGAAUCAAGAACUAAUAUUUCCAUCAUUUUUUAUUCCUUGGCAAUUUCAUGUUUUAAAGAUCUCUCACAAGAAAAUGCAUAGCCUAUCUUUUAUUCUUUAAAGCAAAGAAGCUUUCUAACCAAAGAUGAUGGAAUCCCACCUUGACUAAUUUAAGGACUUUGAAUACUAUAGAAAACCAAAAGCCUUAAGGUUCUAGCAAGCCUAAUAUAACUCAUGAUCAAAUAAUUUCAAGCUUCUCAAAAUACGAAUGUCGUCAAAUUGAUCUCAUCUUUCAAUAUCGACAAUAAUAUGUUUGUUCAGGCCCUAUAGAAUAUUGUUCAAAAGUACCAUUGAAGUUGAAAUUUCAAACAAAACCUAUCGCGUCUCAAUAGAAAAACCAAUUAGUUAAGUGUAAGAUAAAAAAUAAAUGACUGCAUGUUGUAUGAAAACACAAGGCAGAAGAAGGUGCUUAUGAAAAUGAAUUCAUACAUGAGCAGUUCAGAGCCUCUUAAACAUAAGUUGGUGAAAUCGUGGUAAUAACAAUAGAAAAUAUAAUUGCAUCCCGCAUCAAGAAAUAACCAUAUCCAUUGCAUAUUAAAAAAUAGACAUGGAAGGAAAGAAGCCAUCCAAGAUCAGUUAUCGUAACUUAUCAUUAGAAUCCUGUUAUCUUUACAGGAUUUGUUCUAUCAUUUGCUAAAUUGUCCUGCAUCCUAUCUGGCUUGUCAAGUGAUAAGCAUCAAGACUGCGAGAUAUUUAACUCUAAUCUUGAAUGUAUGAAAAGUAGCAGUUAAUAGGUAAAGAUAAAUAGGAGUCCAUCUUAUAACAAAAAGAUAUUUGUCAAUCAGUUGUAGAAAGAAAUUAACAGGGAUUCAUGGAAACAUCAAGAACAAGUUUUUGAUCCAUUUUUGAGCAAUGUAAAUGAACAACUAUUAGAUAGUUAAAACUGAAGAAGCUUCUUUCAGAUGCAUCAAACUGAAUAUUCAUAUAAAAUAGUGUCGCACUAACUUUCUCUGCAUAAAUAGACCAAUUGAAGCUUUUACACCAGAUAGAGUUCAUCGACAUCUAUAUUAGUAUGUUGACCAAUUCUUUUUACACUAGCAGAACUAUUAGCAGUUGUUGUAGCUAUCCAACAGUGAAGGUCUACUAGAUUCUGCUAUACAAAGUACUACAAAGUGAAUAGAUACUAAAUUGUAUGUUACUGAACAUCACAAUAGGCUACAAUAAUAUCCAUAUUGAAUACUAACAAAGGCAAUUAUUGGUAAUUAAACUAUACUCACAACAAGAAUUUUAAAUGCAUACUUGAGUUUGUGUGUAGAGUGUACGUCUUCAAGAGAUUUCAAGUAACAUCCCAACACUGCAAAUGUAAUUAUCAAAUUAAAUUUUCGUUUUUCAUAAGAUUAAAUUCACGAAAUUACACCUUGAAUUUCACUUGUUGUUUUUAAUCAUUGCAUCAUAAUAUGGAUAAAUUUCGACAAAUGAGAAGCCAAUAUAGAUCAGUAAUAUAGAGUAUAUCGGACAAAAUAAAGAAAGCUGAUAAUUAAUAAGGCUUACUGUAGAAUAAAGAAGAAGCAGAUAAGUUAAAAAUUAAAGUAUACUUUUAAUUUUGAAUAGUCAUUAAAACCCAAGUUCCUAAUAAGUGAUAGAAUCGAUAUUCAGCGCUUAUUUAAUCUAAUCGACGUAACUAUAAAGGCAUAAUAGGAACAGUUCAAGAAGUUUAUUUACAAGAUCCUAUUUCUACGCUUCAUAACGAAAGAGCCAUCCAUAGAGAAGAAAAUCAAAUCUAGAAGGAAAAAAGAUAGAUAAAGAGAAAGAGUAGAGAGAUAUUACCGGGUGAUAGUGGCCGACUAUAGUGCAAGAUGAGAUGGGUACUGACGAUCUUGAGAGGGGAGGGAGGAUCUACUCAAUUUUGUGCAUCUCUGUAGUAGAGAUUAUAAUUGUGAAAUUUAGAGUGAAUGUAUCCAGGCGAAAAUAUUUCAUAGGGAGAAAAAUAGAGGGAAGAUUAAAAUGAAUUGUUAGGAGUAACUUUUUGUGACUAUUAUUUAAAUAGCUAGUAAAAAAUCACUCUUUUCAAGCAAAAGUUAAAUUGCG
rnacentral:lncRNA from 1 species